GUGAAAAAGGUAAACAAGAUUUUUGAUUAGUGUAUGUCUUUGCUUUUUUUUAUUCCGGCUUUUAAGCAAAUUCUUCCGGCAUGAAAUUUCGGCGCAAAUAUCAAACUAUUAAAGCAACCAAUCACUGUUAUCCUUAAAAAACGUCGUUGACAUCCGCUAUCAAAGGAAAUUGUUCAAUCAAAAUGUUAUGGGGUCAUAUCGCCUAAAUGUGCUACAACUGAUUGAUGCUGAUGUUAGACUUAGUGGAGAGAAAAGGUCAAGAUACUUUUGUGCACCUGACACUUUGUAUUGAACAAAGAGAUCUAAAGGAUUCACAAGCUUAAAAAAUAUAGAAAAGAACAAAUUUAGGAAGUCAUAAUAAAACCUACCAGGCACAAGCACACAUAAAAUUUGGCCCAGUACAGGAACUAAGAAUUACCCUUCAGUUCAUUAUUGCAUCAAUUAGCCUUUUGUCAUAUAUCUGUUGCCAGUUUUGUUUAAAAAAUAUGCAUAUGAAUUAA
rnacentral:sRNA from 1 species